rnacentral:rRNA from 1 species
ACUCCUACGGGAGGCAGCAGUGGGGAAUAUUGCACAAUGGGGGAAAGCCCAUCGAUGCAGCCAUGCCGCGUGUGUGAAGAAGGCCUUCGGGUUGUAAAGCACUUUCAGCGAGGAGGAAAGGGUGUGUGCUAAUACCAUACAUCUGUGACGUUACUCGCAGAAGAAGCACCGGCUAACUCCGUGCUAGCAGCCGCGGUAAUACGGAGGGUGCGAGCGUUUAAAUCGGAAUCAUUGGGUUUAAAGGGUCCGUAGGUGGAUGAUUAAGUCAGAGGUGAAAUCCUGCAGCUCAACUGUAGAAUUGCCUUUGAUACUGGUUGUCUUGAAUUAUUGUGAAGUAGUUAGAAUAUGUGGUGUAGCGGUGAAAAUGCAUAGAUAUCACAUAGAAUACCGAUUGCGAAGGCAGAUUACUAACAAUACAUUGACACUGAUGGACGAAAGCGUGGGGAGCAAACAGGAUUAGAUACCCUGGUAGCGAGUAG